UGGGGAAUAUUGCACAAUGGGCGCAAGCCUGAUGCAGCCAUGCCGCGUGUGUGAAGAAGGCCUUCGGGUUGUAAAGCACUUUCAGCGGGGAGGAAGGCGAUAAGGUUAAUAACCUUGUCGAUUGACGUUACCCGCAGAAGAAGCACCGGCUAACUCCGUGCCAGCAGCCGCGGUAAUACGGAGGGUGCAAGCGUUAAUCGGAAUUACUGGGCGUAAAGCGCACGCAGGCGGUCUGUCAAGUCGGAUGUGAAAUCCCCGGGCUUAACCUGGGAACUGCAUCUGAUACUGGCAAGCUUGAGUCUCGUAGAGGGGGGUAGAAUUCCAGGUGUAGCGGUGAAAUGCGUAGAGAUCUGGAGGAAUACCGGUGGCGAAGGCGGCCCCCUGGACGAAGACUGACGCUCAGGUGCGAAAGCGUGGGGAGCAAACAGG
rnacentral:rRNA from 1 species